rnacentral:rRNA from 1 species
UACGUAGGUGACAAGCGUUAUCCGGAAUUACUGGGCGUAAAGCGCACGCAGGCGGCUAAGAAAGUCUGACGUGAAAUCUCCCGGCUUAACCGGGAGCGGUCGUUGGAAACUACUUGGCUUGAGGCGAUGAGAGGGGUGUGGAAUUCCCGGUGUAGUGGUGGAAUGCGUAGAUAUCGGGAGGAACAUCAGUGGCGAAAGCGGCACCCUGGCAUUAGCCUGACGCUCAGGUGCGAAAGCGUGGGGAGCGAACGGG